CACUGCCAUAUAUUUUAUUUAAAAUAUAUAAUCCACAAAUAAAAAAGGAACAACCAAAUUGUUUUUAUACUAUUUUCUUUUAGAAUCGUACAAAAUUUUAUAAAUUACAAACGUAGAUAAAAUUCUAAAACGUAGAACCGAUGAAGAUACAAAUUUAAAAAUACAAUCAAGUAACAAAGUGACACCUAUAAUUUUAUAUAAUAAUUAAUAAUUAAAAAAAAAACCAGCGCAACACACGGGUAAAAUGGUAGAACUGAGAUAUACCUGAUCAUGUAAAUGAAUAAACAAGAUACCCUUGUAUUACUAACAACUCUCUGGCUCAUGCUAUCCUUUCUCAGCUCUUUCUUAAUCACUGUUUCCAUCAUUAAUCCUCCAAACAGACGCGUCUCUAGCCAGGAAUGAGUGCAGGCCCAAGAACAUGCAUCAAUCAAUCAUGGCUGUUUGCACAAUCAUUUUAACUCACGCUAAGUCACCCAGACAACAUCAGCGUCAAGUAUGCUCCCGACAGCUUCAACCAGCUCUCACUCCGCCUCCCUUGUUCUCAGAAAGUAAUCACCAACAGUCAAAAAUAAAUGUUCUCCUAGUACAACAUUGACAGCAGGCUGAUUUUCGAUGCAAUCAAUUGUUAUCUUGCCAUUUCUGAGCUGAAAUUCUGAUCUCAGAUUAGAAUGGUCCCUAGAUAACAGAUAAGUUUCCAGACCACGAGCAAAUUUUGUAUUUCCUGCAUAUAAUGCCAGAAUAGCAUCUGAUUUGAACACUAGAGCAGCUCUAGCCAAGUAAAUGGUGAAAGACAAUUCAUAUAUCUGAUGGUAACUCUCCUCCCCAAUUACAACCCCUUGUGGUGGCAUCAGGGUAGAGGAUAGUAAUGGAGAUCCAAUUGCAUCCCUAAUAUAUUGUUCCUGCGAAUUCAGAACUCGUUCUAACUUUGACUUAUCUUCAUCUAAUGAUUCAAAAUAAACGUCCACCACAUCUGUAGGUUCAAGGGCAACUUUUUUCCGCAACUUCUGAAUUCUAUUAACAACCUCACGAGCAACACCAGCCUCGUACAAUGAUUCAUCAGGACGCAGAUCCAUAAUCACCAAAACAUCACCAUCUCCAGCAGCAUCUAUCUCCUUCUCUGUCAAACCAGCAGGACGUUUGAAUUCCCGAACAACCUUGAUAUCAGCCAGCUUUAGAGUGUGUGAAGCAAUAGUAGCUUCUCCAGCUUCCUCAAAUGCUAAGAUAUCUUUCUGAGACAUUGCUUUAAUUUCUUUGGCAACAAUACCCAUUGAUUUUCCAAGUCGUUUACCCAGCACACUGAACUCUGGCUCUGCACGCAGAGAAGAAUACUUCAGAGUGUCAAUACAUGGGACAAGAGAUCUUACAUUGAGUUCCUCCAGCACAUACUCCUUUAGUUUUCCUGCUAUGUCAUCAAGGAAGUCUGAAUCAGGAUGAACUACUAUCAUCUCCCUCAGUGGUGAUUUCAGAGGUUUGUUGUGCCGCUCACGGAUAUUACGUGCAAGAUCAAUAACAGUCAUCAUCCUUGAAACACUUCUUUCAAUUCUUUCAUCCCUCUCUCCCUCUUCUUGAGGAAAACUACAGUAGUGAAUGCUUUCCUCUGCUCCAGUAGAAACUUUCCGCAUGUUCUGAUAUAGGACUUCUGUGAAAAACGGUGUGAAUGGUGACAUUACCUUACAUGAUGUCAAAAGCACACUGUAAAGAGUUGAGAGAGCAGUCCGGCAGUCUUCUUCCCCAGUACGACCUUUUAAUCUCUUGCGAUUGAAUCGCACAUAUAUGUUUGUAAGGUUGUCAAGAAACUUCAAGAGAUAUGGAACCACCGUGUAAAGUCGGUAUGCAUCCAUUUCUUGGCGGACAAAAUGAACAAGACUCUGAGUGGCUGAAUUGAUCCACUGAUCUAACACAUUAGAUGAAUUUUUAAGUGUUCCAAUAUCAAGAGGAGUGAAUGGUGCAAGCCCUUCAACCUCAAGCCUCUUAGCAUUCUGUACUAAGAACCUAUAUGCAUUGUACCAUGGAAGGAAGACAUCUUUGACAACACCAUAAACUCCAUCCUUUUUGAAACGCAAGGUUUCAGCACGCACAACUGGAGAGUUUAUAAGGUAUAUUCUUAAAGCAUCAGCUCCAUAAUCAUUGAUGACCUCCAUAGGCGAUGGAUAGUUUUUCAAUUUUUUACUCAUCUUUUUUCCAUCCUCUGCCAGGACAAGUCCAUUGCAAACAAGAUUCCUAAAUGCAGGCUUCCCAAACAAUGCAGUGGACAACACCAUAAGAGUAUAGAACCAUCCACGAGUUUGAUCUAGCCCUUCAGCAAUAAAUUGCCCAGGAAAAUUUUUCUCAAAAAGUUCAAUAUUCUCAAAUGGGUAAUGGAUAUAAGCAUAAGGCAUCGACCCACUCUCAAACCAACAAUCAAAUACAUCAUCUACGCGCCGAAGCACACCAAAUUCAGGACCACGGCUAGAUGGUAUAGUUAUGUGAUCAAUAUUGUGCCGAUGCAGAUCAAAAACCUUAACACCAGAAAGCUUUUCAAGCUUAGCAACAGAGUCCAUGACAAUUACUUCUUCAGCAUCCUCACUAAUCCAUACAGGAAGAGGAGUCCCCCAAAAUCGACUUCGACUAACAGCCCAAUCUCUUGCAUUUUCCAGCCAAUUGUGGAACCGUUUUUCCUUUACAUAAUCAGGAACCCAAUAUGUCUGUUUGUUGUUUUCUAGCAAUUUUUCUUUUAGGUCUUCCACUCUAACAAACCAGCUUGGAACAGCUCUAUAAAUAAGAGGAGUAUCGGAUCUCCAACAAAAGGGAUAAGAAUGCGUAUAGCUACCAGACUUAACAAGCCUUCCUCUUGCCUUCACAUUUUCAAUUAUGUCCUUGUCUGCAUCCUUGACAUAGCGCCCACUGAAAUCAGUAAUUCUUUCGGUAAAGCAGCCAUCAUCAUCAACAGCUACAAUCAAAUUCUCUCCCUUAUUGAUUAUUUGAUAUUCUAUGCAAACACGGUAAUCAUCUUCACCAAAUGCAGGAGCACAAUGAACAAUUCCAGUACCACUAUCAUCAGUCACAUAAUUGUCCGCGACAACUCUAAAUGCCAUGUUAGAAAACUCUGAGAAGUAAUUAAACAAUGGUUCGUACUUUUUCUUCACCAGAUCAUUACCCUUGACUUUCUCUAGCAACUCAUAUGAAUCCAUCAAGUUUUCAGAUUUCCCGCCCUUACUUUUAGAAUUUGAGGUCUUCAAAUCACCAGCAGGUCCAUUUGCUACACUUGAUUUUGGUUUCUCAACAGGAAGAGCUGACAACCUGGAUUCAGCAACCACAUAGACUUUUCCUGUAUGCUUGUUACGAACCUUGACAUAGUCAAAAUUUCCAUUGACACAAAGUGCAAGAUUACUAGGAAGCGUCCAUGGGGUUGUUGUCCAAGCCACAAAGGAUGCAUUGUGAGGAUCAUCAAUAAUUGGAAAUGCCAUCAUUAUCUCAGGGUCAGGCACAUCCUUAUAAUUCUGACCAGCUUCAAAGUUAGACAGCACAGUUUUGCAACCAGUACUGUAUGGCAUGACCUUGAAGCCCUUAUAAACGAGUCCCUUCUCAUAGAGCUGUGAAAAAACCCACCAAACACUCUCCAUGAACUUCAAAUCCAUAGUCUUAUAAUCAUUCCUAAAAUCGAUCCACCUCCCCGUCCUCGUGAUCACCUUCUCCCACUCUUCAACGUACCUCGUCACAAUACUCCUACACUCCUCAUUGUACUUAUCAAUCCCCAUUUUCAACACCUCAUCUCUCCUCUUAAUCCCCAAUUUCCUAUCAAUCUCAUUCUCCACAGGCAGACCAUGGCAAUCCCACCCAAAGCGGCGAGUGACAUGGUGACCCCUCAUGGUCUGGUAACGGGUGACAAUGUCCUUGAUAGUACCGGCGAGGAUGUGGCCAUAGUGAGGUAGACCAGUGGCAAAAGGAGGACCAUCGUAGAAGAUGUAUUCGGGGAGAGAUUCAGUGCGGUCCAAUUGAGUCUCGAAGGCUUUGAUUUCAGACCAGAAAGAAAGGAUCUUUUCCUCGUGGCCGGGGAAAGAAAAGUCCUUUCCCUCGCAGACUUCCUCCAUUGCAGUGAUGGAGGCAGAGGAAAUAAGAGAGAAGGGUUCAGAGAGAAUACAGAGCAGAGAGAAGUGAAGAGAUGCGAGUUCUGUUGUCAGGCCUAGGCUUAC
rnacentral:misc_RNA from 1 species